rnacentral:rRNA from 1 species
UACGUAGGGUGCGAGCGUUGCCCGGAUUUACUGGGCGUAAAGGGCGCGUAGGCGGCAAUUCAAGUCAUCUGUGAAAUCUCCGGGCUUAACUCGGAACGGUCAGAUGAUACUGCUUUGCUCGAGUGCGGAAGGGGCAAUCGGAAUUCUUGGUGUAGCGGUGAAAUGCGUAGAUAUCAAGAGGAACACCUGAGGUGAAGACGGGUUGCUGGGCCGACACUGACGCUGAAGCGCGAAAGCCAGGGGAGCAAACGGG